rnacentral:misc_RNA from 1 species
UGUAGGAGCGAGCUUGCUCGCGAUGGCGUGUCAGGCUAAGUGGUGUCGACUGACACACCAUCGCGAGCAAGCUCGCUCCUACA